GGCCCCUCCUGACAUCAUACAGCUCCGCGGCGCUCCUCUGUGUUGUGCUAAUAAUUACCGUCCUUUUUAAAGUCAUCCGGACCUCAGCUUGUGGCCAAGUUACCCUCUCGGUGUCGGAUCUGGGACUCUGAAUAACCUUCAUCAUCGUCGGCGAUGCGGCUUCACCCUCCUGACUACAUGUUGCAUUCUGUGGGAAUUUUACGAUAUAAAGGGAGUACCAUCUUUUCUUCUCAUCUGCAUCAAAGAACCGUUGUUCAAAUUGCCAUCUGGCAGUUGCAGCCACCGGCUCAUUUCACCGAAAGACCCGCCCACCGCAGUCGCUGAAGAGGUUGUCUAAAUUUGCCAAGCUGAAGAGACACCGCACCUGGUAAUGUCUUUAUUAACAGCCAAAUUGGCGAGAAUGGGCGAAUUUAUACCGGAAGAGCACAGCGGGCCCUUCAGCAGAUGGCAAAGAGAGUCACAGUGUGAGAGAUACCGGACUGGCAGCCUUGCACUCUGAUUAAAAACAAAAAGUAAGGUG